GACGAACGCUGGCGGCGUGCUUAACACAUGCAAGUCGAACGAAGAGCGAUGGAAGCUUGCUUCUAUCAAUCUUAGUGGCGAACGGGUGAGUAACGCGUAAUCAACCUGCCCUUCAGAGGGGGACAACAGUUGGAAACGACUGCUAAUACCGCAUACGAUCCAAUCUCGGCAUCGGGACUGGAUGAAAGGUGGCCUCUAUUUAUAAGCUAUCACUGAAGGAGGGGAUUGCGUCUGAUUAGCUAGUUGGAGGGGUAACGGCCCACCAAGGCGAUGAUCAGUAGCCGGUCUGAGAGGAUGAACGGCCACAUUGGGACUGAGACACGGCCCAGACUCCUACGGGAGGCAGCAGUGGGGAAUCUUCCGCAAUGGACGAAAGUCUGACGGAGCAACGCCGCGUGAGUGAUGACGGCCUUCGGGUUGUAAAGCUCUGUCAAUCGGGACGAAUGGUUCUUGUGCGAAUAGUGCGAGGAUUUGACGGUACCGGAAUAGAAAGCCACGGCUAACUACGUG
rnacentral:rRNA from 1 species